UUUUUCCAAGUCUUUCUACAGUAUGGUACAUGAAACAGAUGUUGGAACAAGAAAGAAAAGAGAGCCAACCAUCAAGCAAUCAAGCCCCUCUGACAUUUUGAUUAAGUUGAUGUUUUUGUUUCUAUAAGCUAUAUUUUAAUGUCUGUGGAGUGUUUUCACAUUUGAGGUCUAUGUCUGUCUUGGUUCGGUUAUAUUUGUUAUUCUUUUUCUAUUCUGUGAACAAUUAUUUUAAAGCAUCUUAAAAUGUUUUGUUCACAACUAUUUCCUUCUUCUUCUAUAUUCUUUUGCCCUUUUUCUGUAAUGUAUUUUUUUUCUCUUUAUGUUAUUACUUAAAGAAUUAUAAUUCUAAUUCUUUUAGUUUCAAAGUAUUUUUUUCAGCGGAGGUUCUUUUUCCAAGACUUUUUACAGUAUGGUACAUGAAACAGAUGUUGGAACAAGAAAGAAAAGAGAGCCAACCAUCAAGCCCCUCUGACAUUUUGAUUUAGGUGAUGUUUUUGUUUCUAUAAGCUAUAUUUUAAUGUCUGUGGAGUGUUUUCACAUUUGAGGUCUAUGUCUG
rnacentral:sRNA from 1 species